rnacentral:lncRNA from 1 species
CUAGUUCACAGGAGUUGUUGACUUACAGGGAAACCUGAAAUGGUAGAAGAGCUGUGAGGUCCUAAUGAACAGCUGUAGUGUUGCCUUAAUUUGGUUUCUGUCUGAACGUAAGCAAAGAGAGAACAGCCUGAGGAACGUGUCCAUAGACCUGACCUUCAAAAUCUUGCGACUUAAAAUACUUUUAACGCCUGUAUUAUUCUGGAAAUGUGAAUCCACAAUGCAGCUGUGGUGAGAUGGAUGUGCUCGCCAGAAUGAACACACUGGAAAAACGAGAAGGGCAUAAAUAGCAACUGUCCGGAUGUUACUGCAGAAAAAUAAAUUGGAAGCUGAUCAUAAGAUCCAAGUGGGUAUUUAGAGUCAGUGUAAAUAGAAAUACCAAAUUAAGCAAAUAACAUGUAAUUUUGAGAUGAAUUGCUCUAUGUGCCAAGUGUAAAACUUUGCACUCAAUUUGUGUGGUAUGAUAACAGGAGACCAUGGAGACAUUUUAGAACCUAGAAUCACACGGGCAAACUGUAAGCCACGUAAAAUAAUAUGUAACACAAUCACGCAUGCAGUAUGAUUGUAAGCAAAACUGCAAUACAGUUAAAGAAGACAAGUCUAGCUCAGGAAGAAGGUUCCCAUUACUGUGUAACCUGGAGGAAAAACAGACCAGGCAUCCAAAUUUCAGCCGUACUGGAUGCCGAUUCAAGAAAACACUAAAAAUCACACAUAGAAGUGUAUCCAAACACAGGCAAAAUGAGUGCUUGUCCUAAUUUUCAUGUUACAGUGCCCUGCUAGUCGCUAUUUUACCCUUUAGUUCUGGAGCAGGUCCACAUAAAAUAAUUUGCAUGGCGGAAGCUAGACCAGUGAUUCAGAUGCAGAACGGCAACAAAAGGGAUUUUUCUGCUGUAUCUUUGAUUCAUGACAAGGGCUGAGCAUGCAUCCAGAUGGAGAAAUUAGAGAAGACAAAAAGGACCCCAGAAAAGGAAACGGAGAACUGUAUAUCAUCUUCAUUUAAAUAAUGAAAGCCAUAAGAAUUAAUAAGUGUACCAAGCUGUUGGAAUAAAAUUGAGACAAGGAGCGGAGCUCUGCGAAAUCUCCCCCACCAUUGAAUAUGACAUAAAUAAUCUGAAAAUGAAUAAUGGCUUCAUUUUUGUUUCGUUCCACGCUUCACUGAGGUUGAAUUAACAAAUGCCUUAAAAUAGAUUGCUCCGUGUGAAGUUGCUUUGAAAGGCAGCACUUAAAAGAAGCAUUCUAAGCUGGUGAGGAAAUUGCAAGUUUAAUAAAAACACAAGCAGUUACAAAAAUGUUACGUGACAGUCUGCACUUAAGUUAGUAAAGAAAGCAAUGAUUCCUAAACAUGAUAUAGUUGAGGCAUAAAACAUUCUAUCGGAGCUCUGUCUCUGCAGUGGAAAGGACUGAAGCAGGGAGCUUGCUCAUGAACUGCAAAUGUGAUUUCAGCUAUUUUUGCUGAAUUGCCUCAUUUUUAUCUACAAAAUGUUUAAAACGAGCUGUUUUACUUUGCUCCACCCAAGCUCAGGCAACAAGUACCCAGAUGCAGAGCUGUAGGUACAGAACUCAUUUUAAAUUUGAGCAUGGGGUGGCUGCAAUCCCCAAAAUCUAGUUUAAAAACUAAAACAUUUCACUUCAGCAUUAAGGCAUCUUUUUCCACCUCCAAGAGACGCAGUGCUUUUCUUUUGCAAUUUGACUUGAAUAUUGUAAUACUUCACUUUUUUCUUUGCUUGUUUAAAAACGUGCCCCGGAGAACCAAAAUUUCAUGGGGUGCUGUGUGAAGAUGUGAAAUAAAUCUG